rnacentral:rRNA from 1 species
UACAGAGGUCUCGAGCGUUAGGCGGAAUCACUGGGCUUAAAGCGUGUGUAGGCGGAUCGUUAAGUGCCUUGUGAAAUCCCACGGCUUAACCGUGGAACUGCUUGGCAUACUGGCGGUCUUGAGCAACCUAGGGGCGAGCGGAACAAAUGGUGGAGCGGUGAAAUGCGUAGAUAUCAUUUGGAACGCCAAUGGUGAAAACAGCUCGCUGGGGGUUUGCUGACGGCUGAGACACGAAAGCCAGGGGAGCAAGCGGG